rnacentral:rRNA from 1 species
GAUGAACGCUGGCGGCGUGCCUAAUACAUGCAAGUCGAGCGAACGGACGAGAAGCUUGCUUUUCUGAUGUUAGCGGCGGACGGGUGAGUAACACGUGGAUAACCUACCUAUAAGACUGGGAUAACUUCGGGAAACCGGAGCUAAUACCGGAUAAUAUUUUGAACCGCAUGGUUCAAAAGUGAAAGACGGUUUUGCUGUCACUUAUAGAUGGAUCCGCGCUGCAUUAGCUAGUUGGUAAGGUAACGGCUUACCAAGGCAACGAUGCAUAGCCGACCUGAGAGGGUGAUCGGCCACACUGGAACUGAGACACGGUCCAGACUCCUACGGGAGGCAGCAGUAGGGAAUCUUCCGCAAUGGGCGAAAGCCUGACGGAGCAACGCCACGUGAGUGAUGAAGGUCUUCGGAUCGUAAAGCUCUGUUAUUAGGGAAGAACAUAUGUGUAAGUAACUGUGCACAUCUUGACGGUACCUAAUCAGAAAGCCACGGCUAACUACGUG